GGGAAGGUACCUAAGUGGCCAACAGGGUUGGAUUGUAAAUCCAAUGGCUCCGCCUUCAGAGGUUCGAAUCCUCUCCUUCCCACCA
rnacentral:tRNA from 1 species